CUGACUCUUCCUAAAAAGAAAAAAAGUAAAAAUGAAAAAGAAAAAAAAAAAUCUGGCUUUCCUUGAGUGGAAAGAAGUCCUUGGGCUGCUCCAGGGAAGAGCAUGGAGCCGCCUCUGCGACCGAGGCAAAGUAGCUGUCAUAAUCAACAGCUGCCUGCAGAGGGCGCCGGAGGGCACAGACAGGGAACAAAGCUGGAAGGUGGACCGUGCAUGAGCAGCAGGGCUGGGACUCUGCCCUUCAGUGAGUCUUGUCUGGUUUAGAAAAUGAGAGAGGAGGGAGAGCAAGAGGUGGUUUAGACCCAAAGCUUCUCAUCUACCCCAAACCCACUGACACUCAUUCUCCAGAGAGGAAGUGGCUUUAACCGGCACAUCAGGAAAAGAGGAGCUGUGCAGCACCUGCUCCUGGUGGGACACUCUGAAAGGGACAGACGUGCUGAACCAGGAGGCUUGGACAAGCAGGAGCAGCUCGUCUGACUACAGCCCCUCCUCUGCUGGGUAAUGAACGGCUUGACCCUGCUGGUCCUCCCUCCAUCACUGCCUGAUACCAGGGGAAGGUGGAGGCCAUGCCCAGCACAUCUAAAGCUACAAAAACAGGAAACUGGGGCUGGAGGAAAGCAUUCUGCUAACGGAGCUAUAACCCCAGCCCAAAUCCCAUCGUUUUUUUUAUUAUUUGUUUUUUGUUUUGUCUUAUAAAUAGGCUGAGUUUUGG